GAUGAACGCUGUCUACAGGCUUAACACAUGCAAGUCGAGGGGAAACGACGGGGUAGCGUGCUUCCCCGGGCGGCGACCGGCGCACGGGUGAGGAAAGCGUAUCCACCCUGCCUCUGACUGAGGGAUAACACGUCGAAAGUCGUCCUAAUACCUCAUGCCAUCGUCUGCGGGCGUCCAAGGACGAUUAAGGAUUUCGGCGGUCAGGGGCGGGGAUGCGUCUGAUUAGCUUGUUGGCGGGGUAACGGCGCACCAAGGCGACGAUCAGUAGGGAUUCUGAGAGGAAGGUCCCUCACAUUGGAACUGGGACACGGUCCAAACAGCUACGGGAGGCAGCAGUGAGGGAGACUGGUCAAGGGGCGGGAGCCUGAACCAGCCAAGUAGCGUGCAGGAAGACGGCGCUAUGGAUUGUAAACUGCUUUUAUGCGGGGAUAAAGUGAGGGACGUGUCCUUCAUUGCAGGUACCGCAUGAAUAAGGACCGGCUAAUUCCGUG
rnacentral:rRNA from 1 species